CUGGAGCGCGCGUGCGCGCCUGCGGCUUGCUUUUGUCACGUGGAGAGAGUGAAGAUGGCGGCGGCCGAAGCAGUGGAAGAGAUGCGGAACCGCGUGGUUUUGGGGGAGUUCGGGGUUCGCAAUGUGCAUACCACUGACUUUCCCGGUAACUAUUCGGGCUACGAUGAUGCAUGGGACCAGGACCGCUUCGAGAAGAAUUUCCGUGUGGAUGUGGUACACAUGGAUGAAAACUCACUGGAGUUUGACAUGGUGGGAAUCGAUGCAGCCAUUGCCAAUGCUUUUCGACGUAUUCUGUUAGCUGAGGUGCCAACCAUGGCUGUGGAAAAGGUCCUGGUGUACAACAACACAUCAAUUGUCCAGGAUGAGAUCCUUGCUCAUCGCUUAGGGCUCAUUCCUAUUCAUGCUGAUCCUCGUCUCUUUGAGUAUCGGAAUCAAGGAGAUGAAGAAGGCACAGAGAUAGAUACUUUGCAGUUUCGGCUGAAAGUCAGGUGCACUCGCAACCCCCAAGCUGCUAAAGAUUCCUCUGACCCGAAUGAACUCUAUGUGAAUCACAAAGUGUACACCAGGCACAUGACGUGGGUGCCCUUGGGGAACCAGGCUGACGUCUUCCCAGAAGGUACUAUCCGCCCAGUGCAUGAUGACAUCCUCAUUGCUCAGCUUCGGCCAGGCCAGGAGAUUGACCUACUUAUGCAUUGUGUCAAGGGAAUCGGCAAAGAUCAUGCAAAGUUCUCACCUGUGGCAACAGCAAGUUAUAGGCUUCUGCCAGACAUUACUCUGCUUAAGCCUGUGGAAGGAGAGGCAGCUGAAGAGCUGAGCCGAUGUUUUUCACCUGGUGUUAUUGAGGUUCAGGAAGUCCAAGGUAAAAAAAGUGGCCAGAGUUGUCAAUCCCCGGCUAGACACUUUCAGUAGGGAAGUCUUCCGCAAUGAGAAACUAAAGAAGGUUGUACGGCUUGCUCGGGUUCGAGACCAUUAUAUCUUUUCUGUGGAGUCAACCGGAGUGCUGCCACCAGAUGUGCUGGUGAGUGAAGCCAUCAAAGUCCUGAUGGGGAAGUGCCGGCGGUUCUUGGAUGAACUAGAUGCAGUUCAAAUGGACUGAGACUCUCACUGAACUUGUUGACAUGUUGGACUUAGAUGCUUCUCCAACAAGCUUAAAAAUGUGUUCUGACCUGCCCCUCACAGGACUGCUAUGCAGAGAGCCCACUGCACAGGGGCCCUGAAUUUCCUGGGACAGUUCCUAUUGUCCUCAGUCAGUGUAUUUUGUUAAAUGUACAAAAUGACUUAUGCCUUUGUAAGGCUUUAAUGUAAAUAAACUCACAAACUUUU